rnacentral:rRNA from 1 species
UACGUAGGUGGCGAGCGUUGUCCGGAUUUACUGGGCGUAAAGGGAGCGUAGGCGGACUUUUAAGUGAGAUGUGAAAUACUCGGGCUCAACUUGAGUGCUGCAUUUCAAACUGGAAGUCUAGAGUGCAGGAGAGGAGAAUGGAAUUCCUAGUGUAACGGUGAAAUGCGUAGAGAUUAGGAAGAACACCAGUGGCGAAGGCGAUUCUCUGGACUGUAACUGACGCUGAGGCUCGAAAGCGUGGGGAGCAAACAGG